UAAGGGCGUAUGGUGGAUGCCUUGGCACAAAAAGGCGAUGAAGGACGUGGCGUAGCUGCGAUAAGUCACGGACCUCUCAGUAACCAGAGGAAAAGAAAACAUGUGUCUUACUUGUUUUAUUAAAGCUAAUUUUCAAAUGCAAAUUUGAUUUUUGGUUUUGAUAAAAUAAGUAGAUGCGCAUUCCCUUAGUAGCGGCGAGCGAAAAGGGAAGAGCUCAAACCGUGUGUGUUUGCGAUUUUUCGCAAAUGCGUGCGGGGUUGUAAGAUAAAGACGUUUCGUAAGAAGGAUGGCGCAAAAGAAAAAAUUUGUUAGUCAAAUGACUCUGGAAAGAGCAACCAAAGAAGGUGAUAGUCCUGUAGGCGAAAAUAAAUUUUCGCCAUCUGUCUUUGUCUUGAGUAAUGCGGGGAACGACAGCCCCGUAUGAAUCCGGCUGGCCUACCAGCCAAAGCUAAAUACUUUUUGUGACCGAUAGUGAACAAGUACCGUGAGGGAAAGGUGAAAAGUAGCCCGAUGAGGGCGGUGAAAUAGUAACUGAAACCAUAUGCCUACAAUGAGUCGGAGCCUGUUCGCAUCUUACUGCGUAAGUGGGUGACGGCGUGCCUCUUGGAGAAUGAACCAACGACUGUAUGCGUAUUGCUGUUUAAUCCCGUUCUGCGGGAGAAGACAAAGGGAAACCGAGUCUGAAAGGGCGAUCGCAAUUAAUUUUUCUUUUUAUUAGCAGGUUAUUUUAUAGCCCACUAAUAAAAAGAAGAUUUUUUGCAAGUAUUACGUAUACGACCCGAAGCCAGGCGAGCUACCCAUGAUCAGGAUGAGCCUCACAGAAAUGUGAGGGGAGGUCCGAACCCACGAGCCGUACAAUACUCGGGGAUGAAUUGUGGGUCGAAGUGAAAAGCUAAUCGAGCCUGGGAAUAGCUGGCUCUCCCCGAAAUCGUUUUAGGACGAGCCUCAGAUGGUCCCGUUAGGAGGUAGAGCACUGGAUGGUAACCAUUGGGCGCAAGCUCGGGUUACCAAUCAAACUCCGAAUGCCUGACGGCAAAGUCUGGGAGUGAGACCGUGGGGGCGAAGCUCCACUGGUCAAAAGGAGAAGAAUCCUUAUCAUCAUCUAAGGUCCCUAAAUGAAUACUAAGUGGAAAAAGUGGUGUAAAUUCUUAUACAGCGAGGAGGUUGGCUUAGAAGCAGCCAUCCUUCAAAGAGUGCGUAACAGCUCACUCGCUUAGAAUUUAUGCGCUGAAAAUUUAACGGGGCUCAAGUAUUCUACCGAAGAUAUGGAUCAGGUUGGUGGUAGGGGAGCGUUUUCUGUGCAGUGAAGCCCAAAUGUGAGUUUGAGUGGAGCGCAGAGAAGUGCGAAUGUUGGUAUAAGUAACCGCAAGACCGGUGAAAGCCCGGUCCGCCGCAAAUCUCAGGUUUCCUUGGCAAUGACAAUCAACCAAGGGUUAGUCGGUCCUAAGGUGAUGCCGAAAGGCGCAGCUGAUGGACAGCAGGUUAAUAUUCCUGCACUACCAUAAAGAGUGAUGGAGGGACGCAAUCAAGUAUCUUGAUCCUGGCAGUGGUAUCCAGGUUGGUAGCGUGAGGGUCAGACGUAGGUAAAUCCGCGUCUGUGCAUUCAAUUGUGACCCCAAGCGUUAUCGGGUUCCGCUUUACGCGGAGAACUCAAGAAAGCUGGUUGCCGAGAAAAACUUCUAAACUUAUCUUUAUGGUAACCGUACCGCAAAACCGACGCAGGUAGAUGAGGAGAGUAUCCUCAGGCGAACGGGUGAGGCUUCGUUAAGGAACUCGGCAAAACAGCGGCCGUACCUUAGGUAUAUGGCCUGCCUUCUUUUGGUUUACGCAAGUAAAUUUUCAAGAGGGCCGCAGCGAAAGACAUUUGGCGACUGUUUAUCAAAAACACAGCUCUAUGCUAACUCGUAAGAGGAUGUAUAUGGGGCGACACUUGACCAGUGCUGGAACGUUAACGGUGAAGGUGUUGUUUGCUCGCAAGAGCAGGUAAUGCUUGAGCCCGAAGCGCCAGUGAACGUCAGCGAUAACUAUAAUCGUUCUAAGGUAGGGGAAGCGAAAUUCCUUGUCAGGUAAGUUCUGACGCGCAUCAAUAGUGUAACGACCAAAUGACUGUCUCAACGAAGUGCCCGGUGAAAUUGCAUUAGGGGUGAAGAUGCCCCUUACCUAUGGUUAGACGAAAAGACCCCGGGAGCUUUACUGUACCUUGAUAUUGGCCUUACGAUGCAGAUGCGUAGUGUAGUGGCGAGCCUUUGAAGCUUUGUUUUCGGACAAGGUGGAGGCGACAAUGAAACAGUCAUCUUUUGUAUUGUAUGUUCUAACUUCUAUGGCAAAAACAUAGGAAGACAGUGUCUGGUUGACAGUUUAAGUGGGGCGCUUGCCUCCAAAAAAGUAACGGAGGCGUUCAUUAAGGUCAGCUAAGUACGAAUGGAAACCGUACUGAUAGCGCAAUAGCAUAAGCUGGCUUGACUGCAAGGCGUACAUGCCGCGCUCUCUCGAAUUUAAUUACAAGAGAGAACUUUGUGGAUUUAUUCAUGAAGUAGGUACGAAAGUAGGAUAUAGUGAACCGACGGUUCGCAGUAGUUGCGGCCGGAGAUCAGCGGAUAAAAGUUACCCCGGGGAUAACAGGCUCGUCGCAUCCAAGAGUUCAUAUCGACGAUGCGGUUCGGCACCUCGAUGUCGGCUCGUCGCAUCCUGGAGGUGGAGAAGCUUCCAAGGGUUGGGCUGUUCGCCCAUUAAAGCGGCACGUGAGCUGGGUUCAAACCGUCGUGAGACAGGUUCGACUCCUGUCGACCAUAGGCGUGGAUCCUUGAGAGAAGUUGUUCCUAGUACGAGAGGACCGGAAUGAACUGACCUCUGGUGUACCAGUUGUCCUACCAAGGGCAUCGCUGGGUAGCUAUGUCGGGAAAUGAUAAGCGCUGAAAGCAUAUAAGCGCGAAGCAUAUCUCAAGAUUAGGGAUCAUUCCCGUAAAAGGGAUAAGAUCGGUUGAAGAUUACGACCUUGAUAGGCUGUAGGUGUAAGCGUGGUAACGCGCUCAGCCGAGCAGUACUAAUAGAUC
rnacentral:rRNA from 1 species